GUGAACGGUCGCCUGCGGUGCCUGGGCAGCAUCCAGCACCUGAAGAACCGGUUUGGAGAUGGCUACAUGAUCACGGUGCGGACCAAGAGCAGCCAGAGUGUGAAGGACGUGGUGCGGUUCUUCAACCGCAACUUCCCGGAAGCCAUGCUCAAGGAGCGGCACCACACAAAGGUGCAGUACCAGCUCAAGUCGGAGCACAUCUCGCUGGCCCAGGUGUUCAGCAAGAUGGAGCAGGUGUCUGGCGUGCUGGGCAUCGAGGACUACUCGGUCAGCCAGACCACACUGGACAAUGUGUUCGUGAACUUUGCCAAGAAGCAGAGUGACAACCUGGAGCAGCAGGAGACGGAGCCGCCAUCCGCACUGCAGUCCCCUCUCGGCUGCUUGCUCAGCCUGCUCCGGCCCCGGUCUGCCCCCACGGAGCUCCGGGCACUUGUGGCAGACGAGCCCGAGGACCUGGACACGGAGGACGAGGGCCUCAUCAGCUUCGAGGAGGAGCGGGCCCAGCUGUCCUUCAACACGGACACGCUCUGCUGACCACCCAGAGCUGGGCCAGGGAGGACACGCUCCACUGACCACCCAGAGCUGGGCCAGGGACUCAACAAUGGGGACAGAAGUCCCCCAGUGCCUGCCAGGGCCUGGAGUGGAGGUUCAGGACCAAGGGGCUUCUGGUCCUCCAGCCCCUGUACUCGGCCAUGCCCUGUGGUCACUGCGGUUGCCGCCCCUAAUUGUGCCAAAGGCUGACCCGGCCCGGGCUGCGUACACCCUUGCCCUGCUUUGCCUUAAAGCCUCGGGGUCUGCCCGGCCCCUCGCCCCUGCCUGGCACUGCUCACCGCCCAAGGCGACGCCGGCUGGACCAGGCACUGCUGGCCUUUCUCCUGCCCGGCCUCGGAACCAGCUUUUCUCUCUUACGAUGAAGGCUGAUGCCGAGAGCGGGCUGUGGGCGGAGCUGGGUCAGUCCCGUAUUUAUUUUGCUUUGAGAAGAGGCUCCUCUGGCCCUGCUCUCCUGCAGGGAGGUGGCUGUCCUGCGGGAAGCCAUCAGCUUGGGCCAGCUGGCAGGUGGCAGGAAUGGAGAAGCUGACCCUGCUGGCCAGGCAAGGGGCCAGACCCCCCCCAACCCCCAGCUGCCAUCGCUCUCCCACCCAGCUUGGCCCCCUGCCCGCCCACCUCCCUGGGAGCCGGGCCUGUACAUAGCGCACAGAUGUUUGUUUUAAAUAAAUAAACAAAAUG
rnacentral:lncRNA from 1 species